rnacentral:rRNA from 1 species
GAUCCUGGCUCAGAUUGAACGCUGGCGGAAUGCUUUACACAUGCAAGUCGAGCGGCAGCGCGGUCUUCGGACUGGCGGCGAGCGGCGAACGGGUGAGUAAUACAUCGGAACAUGCCCAGUCGUGGGGGAUAACACUUCGAAAGAAGUGCUAAUACCGCAUACGUCCUGAGGGAGAAAGCGGGGGAUCGCAAGACCUCGCGCGAUUGGAGUGGCCGAUGUCAGAUUAG